GAUGAACGCUAGCUACAGGCUUAACACAUGCAAGUCGAGGGGUAACAAGAGGAAAGCUUGCUUUCUUUGUUGACGACCGGCGCACGGGUGAGUAACGCGUAUCCAACCUGCCUAUAACUAGGGAAUAGCCUUGCGAAAGUAAGACUAAUACCCUAUGAUUUCCUUUGAUGACAUCAGAUUAGGAAUAAAGAUUUAUCGGUUAUAGAUGGGGAUGCGUCUGAUUAGCUUGUUGGCGGGGUAACGGCCCACCAAGGCAACGAUCAGUAGGGGUUCGGAGAGGAAGGUCCCCCACAUUGGAAAUGAGACACGGUCCAAACCCCUACGGGAGGCAGCAGUGAGGGAUGUUGGUCAAUGGGCGGAAGCCUGAACCAGCCAAGUAGCGUGCAGGAUGGCGGCCCUAUGGGUUGUAAACUGCUUUUAUACAGGAAUAAAGUUAGCCACGUGUGGUUAUUUGUAGGUACUGUAUGAAUAAGGACCGGCUAAUUCCGUGCCAGCCGCCGCGGUAA
rnacentral:rRNA from 1 species